rnacentral:rRNA from 1 species
GCCAAACAGCUAGCCCAAUCACCCAAUAACUAAACAAUAUAAAUAAAACAAAAUUAGCCUAACACCAAAAAUUAAAUCAUUCUUUUACCUUAGUAUGGGCGACAGAAAAGGUUACACCUGGAGCAAUAGAAAAAGUACCGCAAGGGAAAGCUGAAAGAGAAAUGAAAUAACUUAUAUAAGCACUAAAAAGCAAAGAUUAAAUCUUGUACCUUUCGCAUCAUGAUUUAGCCAGUAUACCCAAGCAAAGAGACCUUUAGUUUGAAACCCCGAAACCAAGUGAGCUACCCCGAGACAGCCUAUUAAGGGCCAACCCGUCUCUGUGGCAAAAGAGUGGGAAGAGCUCCGGGUAGAGGUGACAAACCUACCGAACUUGGUGAUAGCUGGUUGCCUAAGAAAUGAAUAGAAGUUCAGCCUCGUUCUCCCCAAAUCAAAAAGUAAAAAGAUACUAAAGGGAAACAUACGAGAGUUAGUUGAAGGGGGUACAGCCCCUUUAACGAAGGACACAACCUUUCCAGGAGGAUAAAGAUCAUAAUACAUAAGACAUCCUGUUCUAGUGGGCCUAAAGGCAGCCAUCUAAACAGAAAGCGUUAAAGCUCAGACAGAAAUAAGUUUAUUAUUCCGACAAGAAAUCUUACUCCCCUAAUAUUAUUAGGCCAGCCCAUGCCCACAUGGGAGAGACUAUGCUAAAAUGAGUAACAAGAAGGCAAGCCCUUCUCCAAGCACAAGUGUAAGCCAAACCGGACUAACCAUUGGCAAUUAACGAACUCAACCCAAGAGAGCAAUGUGGACUAUAACAAGACCAGGAAGAACCCACAACCGACCUAUCGUUACCCCCACACUGGUGUGCUAUUAACGGAAAGACUAAAAGAAGGGGAAGGAACUCGGCAAACACAAGCCUCGCCUGUUUACCAAAAACAUCGCCUCCUGCAACACAACCAAGUAUAGGAGGUCCAGCCUGCCCAGUGACUACAAGUUCAACGGCCGCGGUAUUUUGACCGUGCAAAGGUAGCGCAAUCACUUGUCUCUUAAAUAGAGACCUGUAUGAAUGGCUAAACGAGGGCUUAACUGUCUCCCCCCUCCAGUCAGUGAAAUUGAUCUACCCGUGCAGAAGC